rnacentral:rRNA from 1 species
UACGUAUGGUGCGAACGUUGUUCGGAAUCACUGGGCAUAAAGAGCACGUAGGCGGCCGAGCAAGUCUGUUGUGAAAUCCCCCGGCUUAACCGGGGAACUGCAGUAGAUACUACUCGGCUUGAGUGCAGGAGGGGAGAGUGGAAUUCCAGGUGGAGCGGUGAAAUGCGUAGAUAUCUGGAGGAACGCCGGCGGCGAAAGCGACUCUCUGGUCUGCAACCGACGCUGAGGUGCGAAAGCUAGGGGAGCAAACGGG